UAGAGUUUGAUCCUGGCUCAGAUUGACCCCUUGCGGCAUGCUUUACACAUGCAAGUCGAACGGCAGCACGGCUGCUUGCACCUGGUGGCGAGUGGCGGACGGGUGAGUAAUGCAUCGGAACGUGUCCUAAAGUGGGGGAUAACGCAUCGAAAGAUGUGCUAAUACCGCAUAUUCUCUGAGGAGGAAAGUAGGGGAUCGAAAGACCUUAUGCUUUUGGAGCGGCCGAUGUCUGAUUAGCUAGUUGGUAGGGUAAUGGCUUACCAAGGCGACGAUCAGUAGUUGGUCUGAGAGGACGACCAGCCACACUGGGACUGAGACACGGCCCAGACUCCUACGGGAGGCAGCAGUGGGGAAUUUUGGACAAUGGGCGCAAGCCUGAUCCAGCAAUGCCGCGUGCAGGACGAAGGCCUUCGGGUUGUAAACUGCUUUUGUACGGAACGAAACGGCCUGCCCUAAUACGGUGGGCUAAUGACGGUACCGUAAGAAUAAGCACCGGCUAACUACGUGCCAGCAGCCGCGGUUAUA
rnacentral:rRNA from 1 species